GAUGAACGCUGGCGGCGUGCCUAAUACAUGCAAGUAGAACGCUGAAGGAGGAGCUUGCUCUUCUGGAUGAGUUGCGAACGGGUGAGUAACGCGUAGGUAACCUGCCUGGUAGCGGGGGAUAACUAUUGGAAACGAUAGCUAAUACCGCAUGACAACAGUUAUUGCAUGAUAACUGUUUAAAAGGGGCAACUGCUCCACUACCAGAUGGACCUGCGUUGUAUUAGCUAGUUGGUGAGGUAACGGCUCACCAAGGCGACGAUACAUAGCCGACCUGAGAGGGUGAUCGGCCACACUGGGACUGAGACACGGCCCAGACUCCUACGGGAGGCAGCAGUAGGGAAUCUUCGGCAAUGGACGGAAGUCUGACCGAGCAACGCCGCGUGAGUGAAGAAGGUUUUCGGAUCGUAAAGCUCUGUUGUAAGAGAAGAACGAGUGUGAGAGUGGAAAGUUCACACUGUGACGGUAUCUUACCAGAAAGGGACGGCUACUACGUG
rnacentral:rRNA from 1 species